rnacentral:rRNA from 1 species
UGGGGAAUAUUGCACAAUGGGCGCAAGCCUGAUGCAGCCAUGCCGCGUGUAUGAAGAAGGCCUUCGGGUUGUAAAGUACUUUCAGCGGGGAGGAAGGGAGUAAAGUUAAUACCUUUGCUCAUUGACGUUACCCGCAGAAGAAGCACCGGCUAACUCCGUGCCAGCAGCCGCGGUAAUACGGAGGGUGCAAGCGUUAAUCGGAAUUACUGGGCGUAAAGCGCACGCAGGCGGUUUGUUAAGUCAGAUGUGAAAUCCCGGGCUCAACCUGGGAACUGCAUCUGAUACUGGCAAGCUUGAGUCUCGUAGAGGGGGGUAGAAUUCCAGGUGUAGCGGUGAAAUGCGUAGAGAUCUGGAGGAAUACCGGUGGCGAAGGCGGCCCCCUGGACGAAGACUGACGCUCAGGUGCGAAAGCGUGGGGAGCAAACAGG